GACGAACGCUGGCGGCGUGCCUAACACAUGCAAAGUGGAGCGACGAACCAGGCUUCGGCCUGGGGCAAAAGCCGCGAACGGGUGAGUAACACGUGGGUAACCUGCCCUGAUGAUUGGGACAACCCGAGGAAACUCGGGCUAAUACCGAAUGUGCCCUCCGGCCUCAAGGCCGCUGGGGAAAGGAAGCUUCGGCCUCCGCAUCGGGAUGGGCCCGCGGCCCAUUAGCUUGUUGGUGAGGUAACGGCNCACCAAGGCGACGAUGGGUAGCUGGUCUGAGAGGACGAUCAGCCACACUGGGACUGAGACACGGCCAGACUCCUACGGGAGGCAGCAGUGGGGAAUCUUGCGCAAUGCGCGAAAGCGUGACGCAGCAACGCCGCGUGGGGGAAGAAGGCCU
rnacentral:rRNA from 1 species